UGAGGAAUAUUGGGCAAUGCCCGCAAGGGUGACCCAGCAACGCCGCGUGGAGGAUGAGUGUCGUAAGAUUGUAAACCCCUGUUAGAGGGGAAGAAUAGUACCGGUUGGACCGGUAUAUGACUGUACCCUCAGAGAAAGCCCCGGCUAACUACGUGCCAGCAGCCGCGGUAAUACGUAGGGGGCAAGCGUUGUCCGGAUUUACUGGGUGUAAAGGGCGCGCAGGCGGGAUAAAAAGUCAGUGGUGAAAUCCUACAGCUUAACUGUAGAACUGCCUUUGAUACUUUUAUGCUUGAGUUCGGGAGAGAGAGACGGAAUUCCAGGUGUAGUGGUGAAAUACGUAGAUAUCUGGAAGAACACCAGUUGCGAAGGCGGUCUCUUGGUCCGACACUGACGCUGAGGCGCGAAAGCGUGGGGAGCAAACA
rnacentral:rRNA from 1 species